rnacentral:rRNA from 1 species
AUGAGCCGCCGCCGCCGUUCCUCGCCGGCGACGGCGUCCCCAGUGGAAGACGAGAACCUUCUCCCGGAGAUCCUCCUGCGCCUCCCUCCGAAGCCAUCGUCACUCCCCCGCGCCUCCCUCGUCUGCCGGCGCUGGCGCAGCAUCCUCUCCGAUCCCGACUUUCUCAAGCGUUUCCGCAGGCACCACCAAAAACCUCCACUGCUCGGCUUCUUCAGAGCUAAUUCAAUGAGCACAGAGCACCAAUUCAUUCCUGUGCUCGACUCGCCGGACCGCAUCCCUGCGGCCCGCUUCUCUGUGCCCAACAACAGCAACAAACACUGGAACUUCAUAGGCUGCCGCCACGGCCUCGCCAUCCUAGUCAACAUGUGGCUUCGUCAGGUGAUGGUGUGGGAUCCCCUCACUGGACAACAGCACCGUGUGGCUUGUCCACCU